rnacentral:rRNA from 1 species
UACGGGGGGAGCAAGCGUUGUUCGGAUUUACUGGGCGUAAAGGGCGCGUAGGCGGCCACCGCAAGUCGACUGUGAAAUCUCCGGGCUUAACCCGGAAAGGUCAGCCGAUACUGCGGGGCUAGAGUGCAGAAGGGGCAACUGGAAUUCUCGGUGUAGCGGUGAAAUGCGUAGAUAUGUGUCGGAACACCAAUGGCGAAAGCAAUCUCCUGGACGCAAACUGACGCUGAGAUACGAAAGCCAAGGUAGCAAACAGG